CCUAUUGUUCUGCCAAGUGUAAAAAACUAAUGUUCAAGCUAUUAAUGCCCAUUACAGACAAUUGUUCAUAUGAAGUUUUUCUUUUUUUCACCCAUCUGACCAGUCAAGAAAAUUUUGAAGAUAGUUUAGCACACAUGACUGGAGUUUGAUUCAUGUAAAUCACAAUUGGGGGUGUGGGGGAGGGGGGAGAACCAUUUAGUGGUCUCAAUUUUCCAAACCCAAAUCCAACAGAAGUAAGGAUCACCCACAAUAUGGAUUUGUGAUCAAACAGCUAAUUUUAGUGUAAAUUUAUUAGAAACUGUGUUUCAGUCUCAGAUGCAACGAUUACAUACCAGAAACUAGUGGAAUUAAGCUCAAGUUUAAAAGUCCACCUCAGGAAGAUGGGCACUUUCUAAAAGAGUAAGCCGCACACAGUGGCUCUAUAAGGUGGUUAGGAAAAAAAAAAAAACACAACUUCUAAUACCGUAGUAAGGUGGGCGAGGUUGGAUUUUAUAGGUCAUUAAGAAAAGAUGGAAAAUGUUUUGGAAAGGUAAAAGUAGAGAGUCAAAUUCCCCGCAGACUAGGUGGCUAGAUUUCCAUUCCAUUUCAUAUUGAAGGAGCACUUGAAUAAUAAAAACUAGACCUAAUAUGGCCACUAAAUGCUGGAUCAAGGUUAGCCAGGCUGCUUCUUUACAUCUGAUGGAUCCCAAUCCAAAUCCAAUUUCAAACAUGUAGCUGUGCCCACAGCAAAGUUCUAUGUAAACACACACAAUAAACAGUACACAAAACCAUUUUUAUUGAGAAAUCUAUGGCCCACUAAUUUCAGCAUUCAAAAAGUCAGUCAGGCCAAGAAACGAUUUCUACUCAACUUUACAUGUGUUUACUUUUUGAGAACCUUUUUUGUUCAUUUUAGAACUUCCAUACAACAAUGAAGUUAUAACAAACAUACAAUAAAUAAAAAUCAUCCAAGCUGAUUGACCAUAAGAUUGCCGAUUUUAAUGAUUUUCCAAACAGUUCUAUUGAAGUUAUUACUUCAUUAGACAAUAUCCACAUGGAAGACUGGCAACCAAUGGUUACAUCCAAAAUGUUCAGAUUAUGAACACAAGAUGGUUCGAUUUGAGUAUCAAGGCCACCUUCCUAUUGUUUCUUUGACAAAAUACACAUACAUACACUAUUUUAUUGAUUUAUUUUUAUUUUUGAGCUUAGUAAAGCUUUAUUUGAAAAUGCUCCAAAGGGUGCAACAUAAGAAGAAACAGGGCCGGCCCAACAGCCUAGGCCACAUAGGUGGCUGCCUUAGGCCCCAUAAUUUUUUUGUAUGUCUGCAGACUUCUAUAGUUAAUUCUCUCUCUAUCUCUCCAAUUUUUGUUUUCGACUCCCUAGUUUUGGGGCUGUAUGUUUUGUCAAUUGGCAGCUCCUUGUUAUGUUUUAUUAUACUAUCUAUUUGUUUGUGGAGCCCGACUUUUUGACUUUGGCAAGCAGAGCCUCUUAGGGUUAGUACCUUAGGAUUGACAAUUCCAUGAUUUGUAUGUUGUUUUGUUUUUAGGGGGCAAAACAAGAUACAACCUCAAGAUUUGGAGACCUUCACCAAAGAAUUCAAGCUUCAAGCCUUACCAAGCAGAGACAAGGAGGAUCUGGACAUCAGGAGGUUUCAAGCAACCAAGGUAGGUUGUCAUAGAUAGAUUUCGGAUAGGUCUUAAGGAAGGCAAGUUCAAGCCUCGGAUAGUUGCAUAGUAUGGCUUAAAAGUAUUUGGUGAAAUUAAGCUGAAUUGUUGGAUUUUUUUGAAGAAUUUGUGCACAAAUUGAGCUAUUAUUUGCUAAAAUUGAGUUGAAAUUCAGCUGUUAGUAAGUUGACUAUGUAUGAAAUUCAGUUGAAAUUGUUGAUUGUGGUUAGUGAGUGCUUAUUACUUGAAUGCAUUUCAAUUAGAUUGAAUUAAGAUAUAGCAUAAUUCAAUCCAUCUUCUAAACUAUCGAUAGACCUAACUUAGAGUUGUUACCUUAGGUCUCAUGUUGCCUAGGACCGGCCCUUCAAGAAACAUAUAUGUGUGUAUAUAUAUAUAUAUGGAGAGGAAAAAAGGCGGUGGGUUGGUGACACAGAUGCUUAUCAAAUCAACGAACAAUACUAAAGUGUGUAAGCCCAUUUACAAAAUCAUGCUACGGGACCAUAUCUACAUUUUCAGAAAUACUAAUGCCCAAGACACCAAGUGCCUGCCUCAUUUCAUGACAGCGUACUAACCAGAUUAUAUGAUUAUGAAACAGAUGAAAAUCAAUGCCGAUUGAAGAGAAGUUUGAUAUAAAGCAUAUAUGCUUGCUGAUAAGUCAUAAUCAGAUACCACUGGGCCAAAUCUAACCCAAGCUACCUUAAUCAUACUAUAAUUGAAAGAAUUUGAGUAAAAAUGCAGACUAUUAUUGAGGAUUUUGUGUUGCUAUCUUUUGAAUAAAAAAGUUGAUGUCCGUGCAAGACAUGGAGGGUGUGCUUUGUGAGCAUAUACAAGAAUCAACAUAUCAUGCAUCUACAUGAAAUUAACUACAAAUUAUGUCCAUGCACAGAGGGUGCAAUUACAGGUUCAACCACUUGAACAUGGACCACAACAUAAGUCCCAUAGCUAAAUUGCACAAUGAUGAAAAAUAUGUGGCUGUUGACAAUAGUAGAAGCUGGAAAAGGAUUCAUUGGCAUAUAGCAUUGCACAACAAUAUGGGUACUUCCAAAUUAGUUCCAUGUUCAAAAUAUAUAUAUAUCAACAAAAUAAUAGCAGAUGGAGGAUCAUGUCUUAGAUACAAUAUUAGUACUAAAAGUAGAAUACUUAUCCCACCUUGUUGGGGUUUAAAAAAAAAAAAAAAAAAAAACCUCACAAAGGGUAUAAAUGCGUUGCACGAAUGAAUCCACAUAGGGCAAUUACCUUCUUACUUUCAGCGCGGUCUGAUUUAAUAACCAUUAUGUGUGUGUGCAUGUGUAUGUGUGUGUGUGUGUGAGAGAGAGAGAGAGAGAGAGAGAGAGUCUUAAGCCCAAGUCUAUGGUGUAAUGCUAAAGUCGUUUAUCCUGUUCCAUGAAAGCCUUAUUUUGCACCUUGUAAAACUCUGUCAGCAAGCAUUAGCUGCUAGAUUAGAGUCAAUACAUGAGUUGGCAUGAGACUCAGCCUAAAACAAACUAACUUGACUUCUUCUUUUUUUGAGAGGUAAAGGCAAUGAUGAAACUGACAAGAAUGAAUGCCAAUUGACAAAGGGGAGUUUGGUGCAAUAAUGGUGGUCCAACCUAAAACUCAACCAUAUAAUGGCUUCAGUUGGGUAUUACUAAUAUUGGUUCUAGACUUCUACGUUUGGCUUCAACUGAAUCAGAGUGGGGUUGAUUCAGCUAUAGCUUUUUUGACUUUUAAGUAGAUUGACUGAUCCAAUCCCAAGAACCAAAAAGCAUAUACAUUCUCCAGAAAAAUUAUAAAAUCUAUACAUUUUGCAUAACGUCUGAACUGACAACGUUGGAGUCUAUUUAGCUCUCCGGUUAAGAAGCUUAGUCUUUAGACUCAAUCUCAAAUCAAGUCGAGACUUAAUUAAAUAGGUGAGAAGAUUGUUUAGGUUCGAUAGCCAUAACAAACAACCAAAGUUUAA